AGACCCGAAACCCGGUGAUCUAGCCAUGGGCAGGUUGAAGGUUGGGUAACACUAACUGGAGGACCGAACCGACUAAUGUUGAAAAAUUAGCGGAUGACCUGUGGCUGGGGGUGAAAGGCCAAUCAAACCGGGAGAUAGCUGGUUCUCCCCGAAAGCUAUUUAGGUAGCGCCUCGUGAAUUCAUCUCCGGGGGUAGAGCACUGUUUCGGCUAGGGGGCCAUCCCGGCUUACCAACCCGAUGCAAACUGCGAAUACCGGAGAAUGUUAUCACGGGAGACACACGGCGGGUGCUAACGUCCGUCGUGAAGAGGGAAACAACCCAGACCGCCAGCUAAGGUCCCAAAGUCAUGGUUAAGUGGGAAACGAUGUGGGAAGGCCCAGACAGCCAGGAUGUUGGCUUAGAAGCAGCCAUCAUUUAAAGAAAGCGUAAUAGCUCACUGGUCGAGUCGGCCUGCGCGGAAGAUGUAACGGGGCUAAACCAUGCACCGAAGCUGCGGCAGCGACACUGUGUGUUGUUGGGUAGGGGAGCGUUCUGUAAGCCUGUGAAGGUGUGUCGUGAGGCAUGCUGGAGGUAUCAGAAGUGCGAAUGCUGACAUAAGUAACGAUAAAGCGGGUGAAAAGCCCGCUCGCCGGAAGACCAAGGGUUCCUGUCCAACGUUAAUCGGGGCAGGGUGAGUCGACCCCUAAGGCGAGGCCGAAAGGCGUAGUCGAUGGGAAACGGGUUAAUAUUCCCGUACUUGGUGUUACUGCGAAGGGGGGACGGAGAAGGCUAUGUUGGCCGGGCGACGGUUGUCCCGGUUUAAG
rnacentral:rRNA from 2 species